rnacentral:rRNA from 1 species
UACAGAGGGUGCAAGCGUUGUUCGGAAUUACUGGGCGUAAAGGGCACGUAGGCGGCCAACUAAGUCAGACGUGAAAUCCCCAGGCUCAACCUGGGAACUGCGUCUGAUACUGGAUGGCUCGAGUUCGGGAGAGGGAAGUGGAAUUCCAGGUGUAGCGGUGAAAUGCGUAGAUAUCUGGAGGAACACCGGCGGCGAAGGCGGCUUCCUGGACCGACACUGACGUUGAGGUGCGAAAGCCAGGGGAGCAAACGGG